UUGAGCGCUGAAGGUUGGUACUUGUACCAACUGGAUGAGCAGCGAACGGGUGAGUAACGCGUGGGGAAUCUGCCUUUGAGCGGGGGACAACAUUUGGAAACGAAUGCUAAUACCGCAUAAAAACUUUAAACACAAGUUUUAAGUUUGAAAGAUGCAAUUGCAUCACUCAAAGAUGAUCCCGCGUUGUAUUAGCUAGUUGGUGAGGUAAAGGCUCACCAAGGCGAUGAUACAUAGCCGACCUGAGAGGGUGAUCGGCCACAUUGGGACUGAGACACGGCCCAAACUCCUACGGGAGGCAGCAGUAGGGAAUCUUCGGCAAUGGACGAAAGUCUGACCGAGCAACGCCGCGUGAGUGAAGAAGGUUUUCGGAUCGUAAAACUCUGUUGGUAGAGAAGAACGUUGGUGAGAGUGGAAAGCUCAUCAAGUGACGGUAACUACCCAGAAAGGGACGGCUAACUACGUGCCAGCAGCCGCGGUAAUACGUAGGUCCCGAGCGUUGUCCGGAUUUAUUGGGCGUAAAGCGAGCGCAGGUGGUUUAUUAAGUCUGGUGUAAAAGGCAGUGGCUCAACCAUUGUAUGCAUUGGAAACUGGUAGACUUGAGUGCAGGAGAGGAGAGUGGAAUUCCAUGUGUAGCGGUGAAAUGCGUAGAUAUAUGGAGGAACACCGGUGGCGAAAGCGGCUCUCUGGCCUGUAACUGACACUGAGGCUCGAAAGCGUGGGGAGCAAACAGGAUUAGAUACCCUGGUAGUCCACGCCGUAAACGAUGAGUGCUAGAUGUAGGGAGCUAUAAGUUCUCUGUAUCGCAGCUAACGCAAUAAGCACUCCGCCUGGGGAGUACGACCGCAAGGUUGAAACUCAAAGGAAUUGACGGGGGCCCGCACAAGCGGUGGAGCAUGUGGUUUAAUUCGAAGCAACGCGAAGAACCUUACCAGGUCUUGACAUACUCGUGCUUUUGCUAGAGAUAGGAAGUUCCUUCGGGACACGGGAUACAGGUGGUGCAUGGGUUGUCGGCAG
rnacentral:rRNA from 1 species